rnacentral:sRNA from 1 species
CCUUUUUUCCUUUUACAGAGAAAGUGGAAAACCAAGCCUGUGGGUUAUUUCCAGAAGGUGAUUUUGCCGAAUCCCUUUUCCAAGAAGACAGGCGGUAGCUCACAAAGCUUGCCUCCUCUUGGCAGGGUUCAUGGGACCUUGGUGAUGAUCCUGAGUCUGCCUAUGUUUAGCUGUGAACUGGCCUCUUAACACUUUCCUCAAAGGCCCAGCGUUAUGUCUAAAAUAGUCAACAUCAGUGUGAAAGGACAUCUCCCAGCAGGGUUCACCGAGGUUAAUCCAAUGAUUAAAUGAAAGUUGGUAAUAUUAUCUGGAUGAGAUGGUCUGAAUUCCCAGACACACCUCAACCCACCAACUCAGUUUUUACCCCUGAGAGGUGGAAAUCCUCACUGCCAUCUUCGCACAUCAUGAAGUGCUCACUUCUUGUCCUCAGAUGCUUGUUUCUGCUCUUUUUCUGGUCAUUUCCAGCAGGCUUGCGUCGUCAAGUUUCUUGCAAGCCACCAGAGCCUAUGCCCGUUAACGCCAACACGCUUUCAUUACCACAGAUGCACUUACGACUUUGUAUCCCAGGCAUUUCCUCUGCAGUCUCCUCCACUCUCUUUUUAAGGCAAGGAAAAAAGCUCCUUAGGAGAAAUUAUGUAACUCUAGAAAUAGCAGCCAGCAUUUGAGACAUCCUGUGACAGCGAAAAGCCAAAUUCCAGAUGUGGGGUUUUGAUUCUCCGAAGAAAUGUGCAUAGGGAAGGAGGGACUGGAGUCAGGUCAGGAACGCCUUAGACAUUUGCUGAUUGUCCUGUGGAUGAAGCAAAGCUCCAGAUAGGCAUGGAGAAAGGCAUUGGGCCCAGGCCCAGGGGGUGCUACCUCUGGCCCUAUUUGCCCAAAAGCCCACUGUCCACUGGUGGGCUUUCCCCAGCCUAGCCCAUCAGGAACAACUUCCUGAUGGUCUCAGGACGUGCUUACCCCAGGAAUUCUCAACCUUUACACUCACAGUCCUGGUGGAUGCUAUGUGGGGCACAGGGAGAAAAGACAUCAAUGACCCGGCUGUGAGGGCUACGACCUGCAGUCUGCCAGAGGCAGUCUGCAGUCCUCAGAGGUAUUUUGUCUUCCCUCAUUUCUGUACUCUAGUAACACAGAAACAAGCAUCACUAGAGAAGGAAACCAUGGACUGGAAGCUCUUGUAAGUAUGUACACUAUCAAAUCACACACAACAAUAUGCCAAAAUCGUGAUGCCCAGCCAGGGUCUUUCCAAGAAUGCCAUGCUGGCUGAGAGAUAAUGGCUCGCCCCUCAGGAGCAGGUGCAGGCUGGCCCAGCAGCAGACUAAUGAACAAAAACCAUGUCAUCAUCCUGAUGGGCACAGAAAAGUCUUCCAAAAAGUUCGACAUUCAAGAUAAGAACUCUGAAAAUUAGGAAUAUACUAGCCUUCUUCAACCAAAGAAAGGUUAUUUGUAAAAUAAAACAAAACAAAUAAACAAAACAAAAAACCCAAAUAGGCAAACAAAGAGAUGGUGAGGGACUGAAAGAUUCCUCUAAAGGUUGGGUUGCCUCUUGCCCGCUUAUUGACUGAAAUUGUGAAACAAACAAACAGCAAGUAACU